CCUACGGGAGGCAGCAGGGAGGAAUAGUGGUCAAUGGACGAGAGUCUGAACCAGCCAAGUAGCGUGAAGGAUGACUGCCCUAUGGGUUGUAAACUUCUUUUAUAAAGGAAUAAAACGAGGCACGUGUGCCGUUUUGCAUGUACUUUAUGAAUAAGGAUCGGCUAACGCCGUGCCAGCAGCCGCGGUAAUACGGAGGAUCCGAGCGUUAUCCGGAUUGAUUGGGGUUAAAGGGAGCGUAGAUGGGUUGUUAAGUCAGUGGUGAAAGUUUGCGGCUCACCCGUAAAAUUGCAAUUGAUACUGGCAGCCUUGAUUACAGUUGCGGUCGGCGGCAUUCGUGGUGUAGCUGUGACCUGCUUCGAUAUCACGCAGAACUCCGAUUGCGCAGGCCGCUUACUACACUGCCACUGCCAUUGAUGCUCG
rnacentral:rRNA from 1 species